rnacentral:rRNA from 1 species
UACGAAGGGGGCUAGCGUUGCUCGGAAUCACUGGGCGUAACGGGUGCGUAGGCGGGUUUUUAAGUCAGAGGGGAAAUCCUGGAGCUCAACUCCAGAACUGCCUUUGAUACUGAAAGUCUUGAGUAUGGGAGAGGUGAGUGGAACUGCGAGUGUAGAGGUGAAAUUCGUAGAUAUUCGCAAGAACACCAGUGGCGAAGGCGGCUCACUGGCCCAUAACUGACGCUGAGGCACGAAAGCGUGGGGAGCAAACAGG